rnacentral:rRNA from 1 species
GUGGGGAAUCUUGCGCAAUGGGCGAAAGCCUGACGCAGCCAUGCCGCGUGAAUGAUGAAGGUCUUAGGAUUGUAAAAUUCUUUCACCGGGGACGAUAAUGACGGUACCCGGAGAAGAAGCUCCGGCUAACUUCGUGCCAGCAGCCGCGGUAAUACGAAGGGGGCUAGCGUUGCUCGGAAUUACUGGGCGUAAAGGGCGCGUAGGCGGACAGCUUAGUCAGAGGUGAAAGCCCAGGGCUCAACCUUGGAAUUGCCUUUGAUACUGGCUGUCUUGAGUUUGGGAGAGGUGAGUGGAACUCCGAGUGUAGAGGUGAGAUUCGUAGAUAUUCGGAAGAACACCAGUGGCGAAGGCGACUCACUGGCCCAAUACUGACGCUGAGGCGCGAAAGCGUGGGGAGCAAACAGGAUUAGAAACCCUGGUAGUCC